UAUGGCAUAGGCUGGUGGUUACAGCUCCCGAUUCGAUUUGACCCCUAGCUUGGGAACUUCCGUAGGCCGUGGGGGUGGCCCGAGAAGGAAAGAAAAGAAAGAAAGAAAGUACAUAUAAAUACUGAGUGGCUUACUUUAGUGGUUUACACCCAAAAUAUACCUAGAUCAUCCGCAGGUUUGCACAACUGGUCCAGUUUUUAAUUGAGCAUUUCACAAGUGUAUUUAAAUGCUAAAUAGAUUUUGAGGCAAUAAACCCCAUUGUACCAAUCCCUUAAGAAAGAAAGUCAUUUUCUGUACUUAUAUCAGACAAUGAGGUCCCUUCCUAGCCCCACCCCCUCCUCCCACCACAUACUCAAUCAGGAUUAUAUUCUAAUCAUUUCAUUAGUUCCCCAAAUUAAUUUUCCUCUUUCAUAUGAGGGCCCUGAGCUUGGGGGUCAGAGGAAGUCUUUCCCUCCCUCCUGUCCCUUCCGUGGGGAUAGGAACCUGCAACCGAGCACAGCAGGCGUGGGGGGUGUCUUUACCCGAAGCCCACGUGAGUGCUGAGAGCAGCAGCCACCGACCAGAAGGGACUCGUGGGUGACACACCCCUGCUGCGGAGCCUCCAAAGCACGAAGGGCAGGCAUUGUAAUGGAAAUGGGGUGGCCAGGCUUGCUCUGCUCCCCGGGGGUUACCUCUGCUCUGCUUCCGCUCCACCGCCUGGAAGGGACCCCAGGGUGUUUGUACACGUUGACAAUGACCCCAGCAAACUCGCUGGGUCUCCAUCACUUUCAGCUGAUCUUUCUCAGGGGCAUCUCGCUCCUUGGCGUGGCAGAGAGAGCAACUGUUACUGCCCCUGAUCAAGGGUGGAAACAGAUGCUGGCACGUGGGGAACCUGGUCAUCCCACUAAGAAAUGCCGGAGUCGGGAUUCGAACUGGAUCCCCCUCGGACUCCUCAGCGUUCCUUCCACAUUAUCUAAGACAGUAAACAGCAGUCUCUGACAUUCCACCAAACCCCGCAGAUCUGGGGAAUUUGAGGAGUGGGAUGAAAAGGAACGUUUAAUUUCUCCAUCAUUAGCUGUAUAAUCUCAAUGUCGAGACGAUGGCAUGACAAGUCCAAUUACUUUGUUUUCCUUAUUAAGAUCGAGGUGGGUAACUAUUUGGUCAAUAUCACUGUACACAGUACCAAGUAACGUAGCCAAGAAAACUGAUGUAGCCACAGAUGGCCGAAUGGUGUCUCUAUAAAGACACAGCCUUUAAGGAAAAACAAAUUCUCUAGCUACCAUUGCAGACAUGAUGCAAAUAAAUGGUGUGUUUCACAGAGACAGGAACUUUAUUUAAAGGCUAGACUUGAUGUGAAGCCUAAUCAAAACGACAUAAAUUGCACUCAAAUAUAUUCUCAAGAAAUCUAAAAUGGAGUUUGCUUAAUUUAAAUAAAGCAAUUUUUAUAAAUAAGAGUUCUGAUUAGACACCGGCAUACAUCAAAUAUUUUAAAGGAUCUUAGAUUUAAGUUUUUGAGACCGAGCAGGACACCCUGGGGCCUUUCUGAGGACAGACUCUCCUGGUGGCCCCCCCCAUGUCCCCUCCCUCCCAUGUCCCCUCCCUGUUGUUUGUAGAAAAGCUUAGCCUCCUAAGCUUUCCCAGAGUUCCAAAGAAUGAAUUUUAUCAGAGAAGUGGAAAAAAUGCAGAAACUAAGGAAAAGAGUCAAGCAAGACAAAAUAAUAACAGUUUAGCCCUCAAACAAAGCCAAGGACCUUCAGUUCCUCCUUGAAGCUUCUAGAUAACACCCUGAGCCGUGUCCUUGAGUUGUUUUGCAGACAUGGAAGCCCCCCACCAGGUGGAAGACGGUAACUGCGUAGAGCCCGGGCUGCCUGGACCCAGAAGGCUGGUGGUGUUGACUCCGCAGAUCCCACCUGGUUGUCUCACCACCAGCCCAUCAGAACAAAGUCCAGAAGCUGAUCACACGCCCCGCCACGCUCACCCUUAACGCUGCCCUGAAACCCUCCCCUGACAGCCUUCGAGACUUCGGGUCUUUUGAGCACGAGCUGCCCAUCCUCCAGCUCGGCCCUUGUUGGAUGCUUUCCUCCCUGUGUCGGGACACUGGCGUCACCGCGCGAAGGAAGAGCCGAAGAGCCAGCGCUCCGAGCUGGACAGGCGAUCUCCACCAAGUCACGGCCUGCGGGGGUACCAGCCAGACAACGUCAUGCUGACUCCACAGACGGAAACCAACCAGCACGCCACUUCUGACCACGGCUUUCCACCAAGCAUCUUCAACAAGGUCAACGCUUUCAGAAGACCGAUUUCCAAGUAAAACCUUCCACUUUUACUGAACACAUCUCAUGCAAUGGGUGGUGUUUAUAGUCAUUCAUUUUCCGGGGAGGGGUGUACUUUGCUGGCGUUGAUAAGACAUCAUGAGAAUGAAGGAGUCAAGCAUCAAAACUGCCAGGAAUGGGAACAUUAAUCCCAGGCACGGUUUGCAGGGAUAUUUUAAAUGGUACAAAGACAAUUUUUCAACAUUUCCUGGCUUUGUCAUGUGGUAUUUAUGUUGGCUUGUGUUAAGAUUCAAAUACACAGGGAGUUCCCCUUGUGGUGCAGCGGAAACAAAUCCGACUAGUAUCCAUGAGGAUGUGGGUUCCGUGCGUUCCACGCGGCAUUGCCGUGAGCUGUGGCAUAGGCUACAAAUGCAGCUCGGACCCCGCAUUGCUGUGGCUGUGGUGUAGGCCAGAGCUGUAACUCUGAUCAUCCUCUAGCCUGGGAACUUCCACAUGCCCUGGGUGCAGCCAUAAAAAGACCAAAAAAAAAAAAAGAUUCAAAUGCACAAAAAAUCAAGUUUAUUCAAUCUUCAUAUUUGAAGUGGCAAAAUUAGUAGUUUGGGAGCUCCCGUGUUGCUCAGUGGCUUAAGGACCUGAUAGUGUCUCUGUGAGGAUGUGGGUUCAAUCCCUGGCCUCCUUCAGUGGAUUAAGGAUCUGGUAUUGCUGUGGCUGUGGCCUAGGUCGCGGUUGCAGCUCCGAUAUGAUCCCUGCCCCAGGAACUUCCAUAUGUCACAGGCACCGCCUGUAAACAGAAAAACAACAGUUUGGCCUCUGCUUUGUUCGCCUGCCUCUCCCAGUAUUGAGGGUUUUUCUGUGCCACCAGGAUGCAAUGUUCUGCUGACCUCAUUACAUGCAGAGGAUAGAAACACCUACACAGAAAUUCCUGGAGUCUUAGCAAUUUUUUGAGGUAUGAUUGACAUGCAAAAGGCUGCCCAGAUGUAGCAUAUACAACUUGAUGCGUCUAAGAGGUGGCUGUUUGUGAGGUGCCUGAGGGGGCAGAGGGGAUGAGCGUGCCAGAAACACCCACGCGAUGCCUCUACGCACCCACGUCCCUGGCAUGGGAUUGCGGCCACGUGGCUGGUUCCGGCCAGGGGGCGGUGAGAAGUGCGCAUGUCCCUCCGGCGUGGGGGCGGGGCAGCGCUGAGCGCGCCCCCAUCCUCAGCCUCCCACGCCGGGACUCUGGAUCCGCGGUGCCCGGUCCAGAAGCCGAUGCAAGAUGGGGUGGGACCCCCAAUCCCAUAGGCAGGAAAUGCACGCUCCCCGUGUGACCCUGAGACCUCAGCGUGUGGGCUCUGUUGCGGAGACCAAGCUCCCUGCCCUGAACACGAUUCCUGACAAAUCACUGCAAACGAUUUACCCGGAACGGGAAUGAUCCACAGCGAGCUGAGAUGAGUAGAUGUCCCACCCAGUGUUAGACAGACCGAGGGGUCCUAUUCCUAAGACAGAGUAAUAUUCACGCAGGAGCAGGGACAUAUAUGAGUGGAGCUGAAGAGACUCGUAUUUACGUUGGGAUCUGUCCAUGCAAAAAUGCAAAAAAAAAAAAAAAAAAAAGAAAGAAAGAAAAAAA